CUUCGGUGAUGACACGAUGACGAGACCGACGAGACGGGUGCGCGUCAGAAGUGUUUCCGGUCGAGAUCCGCGUUCUGCGCUUCUCUUCCGGCGCCGCUGACCGACCCGUCUUUGCUCUUGAUGACCUUGAGGCAUUUGUCUGAGGGGG